UUGUUUUUUUUUUUAGUAAUAUGAGUUUUCACUUUAAUUGGAGCUAUUAUUCGUAGACAAAUGUUGCGUUAAUGGAGGAAGGGAAAAAGAUGUGAUACAUAGUUUCAGAUGGAGAUAAGUAUCUUGAUAAAAGAAGUCAUUGGAGGGCAGAAGCAUAAUUAAGCCGGACUGACUGUGGAGGUCAUGGUAGAAUAACAAGUAUCAAAGGAUGCAAAAACAGAGAAGCGUUGGCAUGGAGACUGGGAGGCACUUUAGUAUUAAAUAUAGCACAUUUCAGAUAGAAACAUGGAAUAGAGCCUGAUCACAAAUACUGCUGGAUUUUCAGUAAUUCACAUUACCUAAACCGAAAUGAAAACCUUGGUCUUUUGCUGUUCUGAAUCAAUAUUUUGUUUCAACAAAUCAUACUGUGAGAUGGGAAAAGAGUCCAGAAGUCUUCUAGAGCCUGCGUGGUUUUUCCUACACUUCACACACAUGUGGGAAGCAGAAGAAAGGCCAAGACAACCUACUGAGAGACAAAAGAACGCUUAGAUUAUUGGACAAGCAAGAGAUUUUAGUACAUGAGAGGCUGAGAAAAUAUAAAUGUCAAUGUAAAUUGCAAAUUGUAUACAUGAAUUAGCAAAUUUUCCUUUUUGUCUUUAGCACAUUAUUUGAAUUUCUACUACUCUACCCAUCCUUAUCCUUUUGUUGUCAAGUAAAAUUUAUGUUUGUACCACAGUUAAGCACUUCUGAAGCAUUUUAAAUGAUUGUAUUUCAAGAUAUAUAGUAAUUUUUGUUUUUUAAACAUCUUCUCUAGAGGAUCUGCUCUCUUAAAAACUGGGUUUCAGAGACAAAGGGAAACUCUGUGUUGACCAAAGGUAAAACAGUAAGCCUAUGACAAAGGGCUGCAAAUAACCAGAUAAGCUGUGAAUUCUGAUGAGCCAAGAAAUUACAUGAUUCUUUUCCACUAAACUUACUAAAAGUACACAUCUAGACUUCUUUCUUUAAGAAAAAAGGUACUUAAGCAAGGUCAUACGGAGGUCAUAAAGCAAGCUCAUUUAGUGUGGAAACUGGAGCAGUGUGCUCUGCAUGUUCAGAAACUAUAAGCAUUCCAGAAAGUGGGAAAUUCAUACAGCGUCUCUGUGUAACAGCUACCUAGAGUGCCAUGUUUUCCCUGCUUUCAUCCUUUUUUUUUUUUUUUUUUUUUUUUUUUUGUAGUCACAAACAGGCUCAAGAUCAAAUUUACUGUGUUAAAAAUGAGCAUCUAAAUAGAUAAGAUUGCCAAGGCCUUUUUAUUCCUAAGGAUGACAUCAGUGACAACUUGCUAUGGAUUUUUGUCAAUCUUGCAGGAGUUGAAGUGUUUCUGAUUUUUCCUUGGUGAGUCCAUUUGUAAAUCCACCUACCACUGCCAUUGUGAUAAAAUAAAUUAUCAAAAUAAUGUGAUCAUUAUUUGGGUACAGUCAUUUUCUCCACAGGAUGCUCACUCCCCUCAUUUCUGUUCUCCACACUUUCUUCCACUUCAUCAAGUCUAUCCUUUUACUGACCUUUCCAUGAAAUGACAUCUUCCAGUUAUUCUUCUGGCUAUUAAAUGUAUUUUUAAAAUUUUCUGCAUGAUUUUCCUUGGAUCUACCUAUCAGAUGUCCUUGUCUACCUUCUAUUUCUAGUUUCCCUUAAUUUUUUCAGUUGUUCUUUGGGUCCUUUGAAGCUUCCUUGGGUGUUAUGUGUCUCUCCCACUCCUUCUCCACCCUGCCUGCCAAAGUAUUCCAUAGUUCUGUAAGACAAAGACUCAUUUUUUCAGAAAACACAAAUCCUAUCCAAUCCAAGUUUUAUCAGUCAAUUUUUCUUUGCCACAUGACUGCAUCAAACACUAAAUGAGAAAAGUAUCCAGGCAAGAGAAUCAAACAAUAUGUAGGUGAGAUAACAAGAAACAUGAAUGGUUCCAAUAAGUUUGGAGUUGUAAAGUCUUUUCUUCUUGCUCUGUUCUGCCUUUUUUUUUUUCAUCUGGGAGACAUAAAAUUGGAUCACAAAUUCUUCUUGGCAGAGGGGGUGUCUUUUAUUUAUUUGUGCUUUAAUGCACCUAGCCCAGCAUGUAAAGAACCACAUCAUUAAACAUAUAAAAUUUCUUUUUUCUUUUUAAUAAACUUUGAAAAGAAUGAUGAAUAACAUCAAAUUGUAUUUUAGCUUCCAGUUUUGAACUGGCAGUAAAAUCCCAUCUAUUAACUUUGCUUUUCUUACCUUUAGACUUACCUAUAAAUGUCUUUGUGUUGUAACAAUUGCCAUUCUUUUUGGACUUUUCAGAAAUCUUUUUGUAGUAGAUAGACCUUAGUAGAUUGUUGUCACAAUACAGAACAUGUAUAACAAAUUUUGUUUAUAGCAAAAAGAAACUGAAAUGCUAAAAUACGAAAAUGACUUUUCAGCAAUUGAUCCAUGCCCCUUAUUCUCAAGAAGGCUGUGUAGAGAAGUGUUAAAGAGCAACUUGUUUCAGUAUUGUCCUGCUGUCAGAUCUGCAGCUAAAGAUAAUGGGGCAUGGUUGUUUCUGCUAUAAAGCAGCACUUAGCUGGGUGCACAGCAAGUCUGACUGAGCUCUCCCUACCCACAGGCUGGGAAAAAAAGGCCUGUGGGAUGACUCUGACUAGCGGUGACAACUGUCAUUUGCUUUCUGUAGUCCUUUGAUUUUCUCCACUUUCUUAUCUUUUCUUCUUGCUCUCUUUCUUAAGAGUAAAUAAAAGUGAAUUAUAAUUUUGAUUACCAGCA